rnacentral:rRNA from 1 species
UGGGGAAUUUUGGACAAUGGGCGCAAGCCUGAUCCAGCCAUGCCGCGUGCAGGAUGAAGGCCUUCGGGUUGUAAACUGCUUUUGUACGGAACGAAAAAGCUCUCUCUAAUACAGGGGGU